rnacentral:pre_miRNA from 1 species
AGGGGCCUGAUCCAAAGACAACUGAAAUCAGUGGGAGUUUUUCCGCUGACUUUAAUGGGCUUUGGAUCAAGCCCUGAAUCU